AUGGGCAUAGGGUCUCUUUCGACAAAAAAUCGAAGCGCAGCGGGAGGAAAACAACAGGAAGGCAUCAAACCCUUUCUCUCAGCACCAAUGGCACGGUAUCUUCUCCCUUCCUCCUCCACCACCGCCGCCUCCUCGCUCCCGAGGAAUGCCAGGGCCUCGCCGGCGCCGAUCCUCGCCCUCCGCGCGCUCGCCUCCAGGUCCAAGCACGCGCGAUCUCUCAUGGCGGUGGCGUCGGACCAGCCCGCCGCACCCAGCAAGUACCCGAAGAUGGCCGCUCCCACCACCGGCCCGGUUCCCGCCGACGAGCUGCUCGGCGUCAUCAAGGCCGCCGCCAAGGCAGGCGCCGAGGUUGUGAUGGAAGCUGUUAAUAAGCCGCGUAAUAUCCAAUACAAAGGGGUUGCAGACUUGGUGACAGACACAGAUAAGCUGAGUGAAUCAGUCAUUCUUGAAGUCGUCACCAAGAAUUUCAAAGACCACCUCAUACUUGGGGAGGAAGGUGGCCUUAUUGGAGAUUCUUUGUCAGAGUAUCUCUGGUGCAUUGAUCCUUUAGAUGGAACAACAAACUUUGCACAUGGUUACCCCAGCUUUUCUGUAUCCAUUGGCGUUCUAUUCCGAGGCAAGCCUGCUGCUGCCACUGUGGUGGAAUUUUGUGGUGGGCCUAUGUGCUGGAACACUCGUACAAUUUCUGCAUCUUCUGGAAAAGGUGCUUAUUGUAAUGGGCAAAAGAUUCAUGUCAGUCCAACAGAAAAGGUGGAACAAUCUCUUCUGGUUACUGGGUUUGGAUAUGAACAUGAUGAUGCAUGGCUGACCAAUAUAAAUUUGUUCAAGGAAUUUACUGAUGUUAGCAGGGGAGUACGAAGGCUAGGCUCUGCUGCUGCUGAUAUGUCCCAUGUUGGUCUAGGCAUUACCGAAGCCUACUGGGAAUAUCGGCUUAAGCCGUGGGACAUGGCUGCUGGUGUUCUGAUAGUUGAAGAAGCUGGCGGGGUAGUGACACGCAUGGAUGGUGGAGAGUUUACAGUCUUUGAUCGUUCUGUUCUUGUUUCCAAUGGCACUGUUCAUGAUCAGCUUUUGGAGCGGAUCCGGCCUGCUACUGAAGACCUUAAGAAGAAAGGAAUUGAUUUCUCCAGGUGGUUCAAGCCUGACAAUUACCCUACUGACUUUUGA
rnacentral:rRNA from 1 species